rnacentral:misc_RNA from 1 species
GAUGAAGAACGUAGCGAAAUGCGAUAAGUAAUGUGAAUUGCAGAAUUCAGUGAAUCAUCGAAUCUUUGAACGCACAUUGCGCCCCUUGGUAUUCCAUGGGGCAUGCCUGUUCGAGCGUCAUUUGUACCUUCAAGCUUUGCUUGGUGUUGGGUGUUUGUCUCGCCUUUGCGUGUAGACUCGCCUUAAAAUAAUUGGCAGCCGGCGUAUUGAUUUCGGAGCGCAGUACAUCUCGCGCUUUGCACUCAUAACGACAGCGUCCAAAAGUACAUAUUACACUCUUGACCUCGGAUCAGGUAGGGAUACCCGCUGAACUUAAGCAUAUCAAUAAGCGGAGGA